rnacentral:lncRNA from 1 species
CCACGUCUUCGAUUUGUUUUUGCUGUCUAUAAUAAUAAAGAAAAAUUGUAUUUUUUUAAUAUUUUGUUAAAAAAAUAUUGAAAGUUCAAAAAUAUUUUACAAAACUAUUUGGAAAUUUGGCACAGACAGUUGACUAACCUCGUUCCGUCUAUUUUGUCAUUCUCAAAUGCUGGAAAAAUUGUGAGCCACGAGCCAGGAAAGCGAGUGUGGGUCAACAAAGACAUAAACAGAACGAACUCGUCAUUCAUCAAGACACGUACGCACUUUUCUCGAUUCCACUCCCCAUCUGCCCCACUAGAAAAGCAACAAUCCACUUCCAUCCAGUAGGAGCCCGCCACGUUUGAUAAAGAAUCUUUCGAAGGAUUUGCCGCCACCUUCUCUUCUCUCAUUGGCGACUUCGUCGACCUAUCGUGUAACCCUCAAAUCUUGAUCUUCUUUUGAUGCGGCCCCACCAAAAUUAAACCCCUCAGCUGUUGUUGCGAUCAUCAUAUUCAAAGUUUUGGUCUGAACACGUGGCCCCUCCAUAAGCAGCCAGCACUUGCUGAUCGUUACUGUUACCGAUAUGAUUAUCCUUCCCUUCGCAGUCGAGGAAAGAAUAAUAGAGACUAGAGAGAGAGAGAGAGAGAGGAGAAAUUCGAAAAUAAGUUUCAAGAGAUGGAGAGGUGGCGACGCACUGAUGCUUUGCUUUGUUACAGGUCUUUGAGAGAAGGAAAAGCUGAUUUUGAUCGUACGGCUGUGAUGGGGAGGGCCCACAACCCCAUGUGCUUCAACAUUCAAGCGGACAAGAUUGGACGGGUGUGAUUGCGUCAGAACUCAGAAGGAACAGUGGGGUGUCGAGGGUGACAAUACGCGUGCAUGUCAAAGAAACAAAAGAAGGCUAUGAGCUGUACGGACGUGAUUCACGUGAAACAACUGUGGAGGAAUUGCAUGGAUAUAGAAGAAAACACUUAACCUAAACGACGGCGUUUAAACUACUCGCCCUCUCUCUAAGACUCUAAGACCAGCCACUCCCUGUUAGUU